GGGGCUGUAUUUUAAGUUAAAAAUAUAUGUUUUGCAAGCAUACGAUUUGGGCUCUA
rnacentral:tRNA from 1 species